rnacentral:rRNA from 1 species
AUUGAACGCUAGCGGGAUGCUUUACACAUGCAAGUCGAACGAGUGGCGGACGGGUGAGUAAUAUAUCGGAACGUGCCCAGUAGCGGGGGAUAACUACUCGAAAGCGUGGCUAUUCCCGCAUACUAUUGGAACGGCCCAUAUUGGAUUAGCUAGUUGGUGGGGUAAAGGCUCACCAAGGCAACGAUCCGUAGCUGGUUUGAGAGGACGACCAGCCACACUGGGACUGAGACACGGACCAGGCUCCUUCGUGAGUCAGCAGUGGGGGAUGAUGGACAAUGGAUGAAACCCUGAUCCAGCCAGCCCGCGUGUGUGAGAAGGCCUUCGGGUUGUAAAUUACUUUUGGCAGAGAAGCGGUAUCUGCAGAAUAAGCACCGGCUAACUACGUGCCAGCAGCCGCGGUAAUAC